rnacentral:RNase_P_RNA from 1 species
UGAGCCGGCUGGACGGCCGCGUCGGGGGAGACCCCGCCGAGGAAAGUCCGGGCUCCGCAGAGCAGGGCGGUGGGCAACACCCACCCGGGGCGACCCGCGGGAAAGUGCCACAGAAAACAGACCGCCGCCGCCUUUGGGGCGGCGGUAAGGGUGAAACGGCGGUGUAAGAGACCACCAGCGCCCAGGGCGACCUGGGCGGCUCGGCAAACCCCGCCCGGAGCAAGGCCAGACAGGCGGCGCUUGAGGGCUGCUCGCCCAAGCCGCCGGGUAGGCCGCUUGAGGCCCGCGGCAACGCGGGCCCUAGAUGGAUGGCCGUCUUGAAUGACAGAACCCGGCUUACAGGCCGGCUCAUCCA